CCUCGGAUCAGGUAGGAAUACCCGCUGAACUUAAGCAUAUCAAUAAGC
rnacentral:rRNA from 2 species